AGCGGGAGCGAAGAUGAUACAGUGUGUGCUGAGCUAAAUUGAGCAAACUUCGAAAUAAGCUUAAGAAAGUGAACGAGACAAUAACCUGGUUCACCCUUAAGCGAGCGGGAGAAACGGAACCGACCUCUUGGUGGUUUCGGGCAGUGCGAGCGUCUUGGCUAGGUUUUUUAGAUACACUUGCAACUUGAAUUGGAUCUGUUGGAUUUCCCCCUGACGAGGAGGAUGGCAAGCCACCCAUUGAGGUUCUGGAACUGAGCAGGACCAAUCCUUUUGGCCUACAAGGAACAGGUUCUUUCACAACAUCAGCUCUCAACUGGCGGAGUCGUCGUCUGAGACGUGCUACCGCACUAACAGCUUGAGACCAGGAUGAAAACCUUACCAGGUUACUCACUGUGACUGAGACAGCUGCUGCUGUCAAUUCUAACCUUGGGAUGAUGGUGAUCUUUGAAGGAGACAGAUGAGAUUUUCCCAUGAUGAAGGCACAAUGAGCAUCUCCCUUCUCAUUCAAAAACCUCAGAUCAUGAAGUUGACCUUGAAGACCUCGGUGGACGUCAGGCAAAUAUUAAUGGAUUGCUUAGCAAUCCAUGGACGUACCGCACAAGGACUGCUGCCACCAGCUGCAGUCUGGAACAGAGGAGUUGGAGUCUGUUGAACGACGGGAUGAGAGGCUCUGGGGAUCACCACAAGUCCAACUUGGCACCGCUACUGGUGCAGCAUUUAUAAACCAGGGCUGAGCUGUGUCAUGUUCUGCUGGCGCAUGCAAAGCAGAGGACCCCAAAGCAGGACUCAGAGG